rnacentral:rRNA from 1 species
AUUGAACGCUGGCGGCAUGCCUUACACAUGCAAGUCGAACGGUAACAGAUCUUCGGAUGCUGACGAGUGGCGAACGGGUGAGUAAUACAUCGGAACGUGCCUAGUAGUGGGGGAUAACUACUCGAAAGAGUGGCUAAUACCGCAUGAGAUCUACGGAUGAAAGCAGGGGAUCGAAAGACCUUGUGCUACUAGAGCGGCCGAUGGCAGAUUAGGUAGUUGGUGGGAUAAAAGCUUACCAAGCCGACGAUCUGUAGCUGGUCUGAGAGGACGAUCAGCCACACUGGGACUGAGACACGGCCCAGACUCCUACGGGAGGCAGCAGUGGGGAAUUUUGGACAAUGGGCGAAAGCCUGAUCCAGCAAUGCCGCGUGCAGGAUGAAGGCCUUCGGGUUGUAAACUGCUUUUGUACGGAACGAAAAGCCCUGGGUUAAUACCCUGGGGUCAUGACGGUACCGUAAGAAUAAGCACCGGCUAACUACGUGCCAGCAGCCGCGGUAACAC